rnacentral:rRNA from 1 species
GCUCAGUAACACGUGGAGAACGUGCCCUUAAGUGGGGGAUAAUCUCGGGAAAUUGAGGAUAAUACCCCAUAGAUCAUGGCAUCUGGAAUGAGUCAUGGUUCAAAGUUCCGGCGCUUAAGGAUCGCUCUGCGGCCUAUCAGGUAGUAGUGGGUGUAAAGUACCCCCUAGCCUACGACGGGUAUGGGCCUUGAGAGAGGGAGCCCAGAGUUGGAUUCUGAGACACGAAUCCAGGCCCUACGGGGCGCAGCAGUCGCGAAAACUUCACACUGGGGGCAACCCCGAUGAGGGAAUCCUAGUGCUAGGACAUUUGUUCUAGCUUUUCUCAAGCGUAGAUAACUUGAGGAAUAAGGGCUGGGUAAGACGGGUGCCAGCCGCCGCGGCAAUACCUGCAGCCCAAGUGGUGGUCGAUUUUAUUGAGUCUAAAACGUUCGUAGCCGGUUUGGUAAAUCUUUGGGUAAAUCGGGAAGCUCAACUUUCCGACUUCCGAAGAGACUGUCAAACUUGGGACCGGGAGAGGCUAGAGGUACUUCUGGGGUAGGGGUAAAAUCCUGUAAUCCUAGAAGGACCACCGGUGGCGAAGGCGUCUAGCUAGAACGGAUCCGACGGUGAGGGACGAAGCCCUGGGUCGCAAACGGGAUUAGAUACCCCGGUAGUCUAGGGUGUAAACGCUGCAGACUAGGUGUUGGAGGCCCUACGGGGGCACCCAGUGCCCGAGAGAAGUUGUUAAGUCUGCUACUUGGGGAGUACGUCCGCAAGGAUGAAACUUAAAGGAAUUGGCGGGGGAGCACCGCAACGGGAGGAGCGUGCGGUUUAAUUGGAUUCAACACCGGAAAACUCACCAAGGGAGACCAUCACAUGAAAGCCAGGCUAAUGACUUUGCUUGAUUCUUGGAGAAGUGGUGCAUGGCCAUCGUCAGUUCGUACUGUAAAGCGUUCUCUUAAGUGAGAUAACGAACAAGACCCUCACUUAUAAUUGCUACUCGUCUGUCCGCAGGCGAGGCACAUUAUCGGGACCGCUGGCGCUAAGUCAGAGGAAGGAGUGGACGACGGU